UGGGGAAUAUUGCACAAUGGGCGCAAGCCUGAUGCAGCCAUGCCGCGUGUGUGAAGAAGGCCUUCGGGUUGUAAAGCACUUUCAGCGAGGAGGAAGGUGGUGAGCUUAAUACGCUCAUCAAUUGACGUUACUCGCAGAAGAAGCACCGGCUAACUCCGUGCCAGCAGCCGCGGUAAUACGGAGGGUGCAAGCGUUAAUCGGAAUUACUGGGCGUAAAGCGCACGCAGGCGGUUUGUUAAGUCAGAUGUGAAAUCCCCGGGCUCAACCUGGGAACUGCAUUUGAAACUGGCAAGCUAGAGUCUCGUAGAGGGGGGUAGAAUUCCAGGUGUAGCGGUGAAAUGCGUAGAGAUCUGGAGGAAUACCGGUGGCGAAGGCGGCCCCCUGGACGAAGACUGACGCUCAGGUGCGAAAGCGUGGGGAGCAAACAGAUUAGAUACCCUGGUAGUCCACGUUGUAAACGAUGUCGAUUUUGGAGGUUGUGCCCCUUGAGGCGUGGCUUCCGGAGCUAACGCGUUAAAUCGACCGCCU
rnacentral:rRNA from 1 species